rnacentral:rRNA from 1 species
AUUGAACGCUGGCGGCAGGCUUAACACAUGCAAGUCGAGCGGGGUGAUGGUGCUUGCACUAUCACUUAGCGGCGGACGGGUGAGUAAUGCUUGGGAAUCUGCCUAUUAGUGGGGGACAACAUCUCGAAAGGGAUGCUAAUACCGCAUACGUCCUACGGGAGAAAGCAGGGGAUCACUUGUGACCUUGCGCUAAUAGAUGAGCCUAAGUCGGAUUAGCUAGUUGGUGGGGUAAAGGCCUACCAAGGCGACGAUCUGUAGCGGGUCUGAGAGGAUGAUCCGCCACAUUGGGACUGAGACACGGCCCAGACUCCUACGGGAGGCAGCAGUGGGGAAUAUUGGACAAUGGGGGGAACCCUGAUCCAGCCAUGCCGCGUGUGUGAAGAAGGCCUUAUGGUUGUAAAGCACUUUAAGCGAGGAGGAGGCUCUUUUGGUUAAUACCCAAGAUGAGUGGACGUUACUCGCAGAAUAAGCACCGGCUAACUCUGUGCCAGCAGCCGCCGUAA